rnacentral:rRNA from 1 species
AUUGAACGCUGGCGGCAUGCUUUACACAUGCAAGUCGAACGGCAGCGCGGGCUUCGGCCUGGCGGCGAGCGGCGAACGGGUGAGUAAUACAUCGGAACGUGCCCAGUAGUGGGGGAUAGCUCGGCGAAAGCCGGAUUAAUACCGCAUACGACCUGAGGGUGAAAGCGGGGGAUCUUCGGACCUCGCGCUAUUGGAGCGGCCGAUGGCAGAUUAGCUAGUUGGUGGGGUAAAGGCCUACCAAGGCGACGAUCUGUAGCUGGUCUGAGAGGACGACCAGCCACACUGGGACUGAGACACGGCCCAGACUCCUACGGGAGGCAGCAGUGGGGAAUUUUGGACAAUGGGCGAAAGCCUGAUCCAGCAAUGCCGCGUGUGUGAUGAAGGCCUUCGGGUUGUAAAGCACUUUUGGCGGGAACGAAAAGGACUGUGCCAAUACCACGGUUCGAUGACGGUACCCGCAGAAUAAGCACCGGCUAACUACGUG